UCCCCACAAACACAUCCACCACAGUAUAACAUUAAAUCAUCUCCAAAUCCAUCACUUAAACAUCCCAAAAGAUAAACCAUACACAAACAUCCAAAUACUUCUAAAGUAGAUUACACACAACCAAAAUAUUAUACAAUACCCCAAGGUAAUCAGAGCAACUAAAACUAAAGGAAACAAGAAAAUACACAAGUAGGUUAAACAUGUAACCUACUGGUGAAAAGUGGUGGUGAUGUUGGUGACUAUGCCCCGCCUGCUACUAGUACCGACCCGAACUAUGCAGACUAGGCAUUUAAAACGAAGGGCCCAGGGGAAAACAUCUAAAAACGUUAGAGUCAGAGGACAAAAGUAAAUUUAUAAAAAAUAAACAAAUAAAUAAAUUUAUGCUUUCCCAAUUUAAUUUCUAUAGAAUAGCUAUAAUGCAUGCACAAGCGUUAAGGCUUUUAAUUUAUAAAUUGGCGAAUACUGAAAAUACGUGACUAGCACCGCUAGUCUCCAAUACUUUAUAAUAUUGAGUCUCCCAGGCUCUAGUAUAUAAGUAUGUAUUUACACACGUCCAUACUCCCUAUAUGAAUUUUUAUGGAUUUAGGAGUUCAUACAUGGCUAUUACGCUUGCGUCCCACGCUCACGUCACACCAUAAUUGUGGCGGUUAUUCGCUGCACCACCAUGGCGGAAAGAGGGGUGUAUAUACGUACUCAUACCCCCUAUAAGAAUUCAUACAUUCAUAUAGAGCUACGACGCUUGCGUCCCACGCUCACGUCACACCAUAAUGGCGGCUAAUUGCUACACCAUUAUGGCGGAAAGACACGUAUGGCUAGCUAGCAUUUAUAUACAUACUAUCAUUAUAAAUAUAAAUAUAUAAAUCCACCGAAAAUCUCAUUUUCGGUAACUCUCCAAAUUAAUGAAAAUUGUCAAUUAUCAAGAAAAAAAAUAUAUUCCAACAGAAGAAUAAACUGAUCAUCAAAAUAAUCCAUUGCAUGCAUUUAAUUUAAAACAAAAGUUCACUCACAUAUUUAGCCUUAAGCCUGACGUCGAUCCGUGGUCUCUUCAGCUCGAGCCUCCUCACGUCCUGUUCAAAAUAUAUAAUUAAGUCCCCAACUAAAAUUCGAUACUUAUAUAAUUAGGCAAGAAUAAAAGUGAGCGUUAUACAACGCUCGUCAUUGCCCAACUUUUCUAUUCAUCGUGUGAUUCUACCCGGACUUCACCACUAGCAUAAGAGUCCUUAAAACAACAUCUAAAGCUUAAUCCAUAGAAACUCAAUGCCCAAUUUCUAAUCCAAGAACCAAUAAUUCCACCACCUCCGGAUUAAAUUCUAAACUUAACAUACACUCUUCCAAAAAUCCCAAACUUAAUAAUAAUGGACUCCCCUCUUCAAAUACCACUCACAGAACUCAAAAGAAUCACUUCAACAUGGUGGCACUGCCGUCUACACCGUCAGCAGCGGCGGCCGGCCACCACAUAAUUCCGGCCACCUCCAACGACUACCCAAAUUUCACACAAACAUCAACUCAACCCGCUGAUCAACUUUCAUAAUUAACACAAAGCCCAAUUCCAAGUAUAAACAUGUUAAUCGAAGCAAAAACAGUAAAACCCAAAUUGAAAAUGCUAGAACUUCAACUAUUCGAUUCUCCUUACCAAGAACGAAUUGGACCAAGUCCUUUUGAGGGGUUACUACCCUAGGUGAGCACUACAAGAUGAGACAAGAAUCCCCUUCGAUGGUGGCCGGAGGAGUGAGUUCCGGCGAGAAGUCAACCAAGCUUUUGGAGGGGAUUUCUCUCACAAGCUUGAGUUGGAGGUUUGAUCACCAACCUAGAAAGAUGAAGGAGAUGACGGUGGGUUGAAUGGGACCGGUGUGGCGGCCCAGUUUGGUCGGUGGCGGGCAGAUUUGCUGGCAGAGGGAGGGAGAAUGGAAAUCGGGGGAGAGGAGAGAAAAGAGAGAGUUUGGGUUUUUUUUUUUUGUUUUGUUUUUAACAGGUUUCCCGAUCUGGAAACUUCUAAAAUGGAAGUUUCCCAUUUUUAACCAAACCACAAUAUAAAAUUACCCCCUUUUUAUUUACCAGCUUUUUACCUACUUUCCAAAACACAUUUAACUCAUGUCUGCUACUUCAUUUUAUCGUCCUUAACGACUUUCCAUAAGGGAAAACCCCGUAAUAGUUGUCAUAUAAAAGUCGUCUCUGGUCCUUUGAACUAUGAGACCCCUAACGAAGGCAGUAUAAACUCAGGGUAAUACAACGUAAAUAAUUAGGGUAAUAAUUAAGGAUCGGGAUGUGACAGUAAUGCCCAUAUGCUGGGUCGAAUAUGUGUUGACCUAGAGUAUUCAUAGGGUAUAAACAAUGACGUUAUAAGACAUAGUAACAGUGUCACAUCCCAACCCUUAAAUUUUUACCUUAUUUACUAGCUUGGUAUUUAAUAAGAAUUUUACCGUCUCCGUCAAUGAGGUUAUAGUCUAAUUGGUCCUUAUAGGGGUUUUGAGGGACGAUUAUUUUGGUGGAAUUAUUCGUAGGAGAAAAUGUGACGAUAGUAAAAAUGAUAAAUUUUAGCUAGUAAAAAGUAAUUGUUUUAGGGUAUUUUUAUUGGGGUGUUUUAUGUUAUGGAGUGGGGUGUUUUAGGGUGGUAUUAAAGAGUUGGAUCGGGUACUGGAGGCCCAAAUCCUUUUUCUCCUUCUCUCUUUUCCUCCCUGUUCCCUUUCUCCCGAGCUCUCUCUUCCUCUGUCGGAAGUCCAGCGCCUGCCGCCGUCCGGCUAGCAACCGGCCGCCGCUCCAGUCCAGUUCGGACCCCCGUCGUCUCCUCUCUCUUUCCGGCCUAGCGUCGAAGCUGGUAGCGUCGCCGGAGAGGAGAAAACCAGCCGGAAACGCCGACUGCUCCUUCGCCGGAACUUCCUCCUCCGGCCACCAUAGCUCGAGAUUUUUGGCUCAUCUUGUAACUCUCAUCAAGAUUAGUGAUCCCUCAAAAGGAAUCGACCUAGUUCGGUCUUGAUAAAGAGAGAUGUUUAAUUGAAGUUCUAGGGAUUUUUGGAUGUUUUGGUUCGAUUUCCUUAGUUACCCUUAGAAUUGGACUAAGUGUUAGUUUUGAAAGUUGUUGUGCAUGAUGAGAGGAUUAUUCUGUCAAAAUUUCAUAGACAUUGGAGGUCGCCAGAGUCGGCCUCCGGCCGCCGCCGCUAUUUGGGAGAUUUUUAUGGUUUUAAAUGUGGAAUAUUAAUGGGAGUUUAUUGAUGUGAAUUAUGGAAUUUUUGGAGGAGUUUCGGUAAGGUUUGUGAAUUUCCGAAGUUUGGUAUUUUUGGCGGUUAAUUAAUGUAGAAUCCGGCCGUAGGAUUAAAGUCGUUAAAUCUGUGGGAGGUUGUGUUACGGCUGCCGAUUUUGGUAUUAAAGUUUGGAUCGUUUCGGUUUAAGAAUAUCGAAGUUAGGCGAGAAUGAGCGUGGUUACGGCUCAUAUUUAUUUUGCCUAUUUUUGAGUAAGUAUUGGAUUUUUGGUUGGUAAUUUAAUUAUAUAUUUGGAACAGGACGUGAGGAGGCUCGAGCAGAAGUGGCCUCAGAUAGACAUCAGGCUUAAGCCUAAUUUGUGAGUGGAUUUUUGUUUUAAAUAAUAUGCAUGCUAUGGUUCAUGGAUGACCAAUUAGUUUUGUUGGAGCAUUUGACCUCAUUUUAAUUUUGACGAUUUUAUUUCUCUUAGAGAGUUACCGAAAAUGGGAUUUUCGGUGAAUAUAAAUAUUUAUUUAUGAGGCGAGUAUGUAUAUAUAUGUUAGCUAGCCAUAUGUGUCUAUCCACCUUAAUGGCGUAGCAUAUAGCCGCAUUAUGGUGUGACGUGAGCGUUGGACGUGAGCGUAGUAGCCCUAUAUGAGUGUUUAAUUCAUAUAGAGGGUAUAGACACAUAUUUAUACACCCGUCUGUCCACCUUAAUAGCAUAGUGUAGCACCGCAUUAAGACGUGACUUGAGCGUUGGACGCGAGCGUAGUAGCCCUAUAUAAACCCAUGAAUUUAUAUAGGGAGUAUGGAUGUGUGUAAAUACAUACAUAUAUUUUAGAGCCUGAGAGGCUCGAUAUUUUAUGAGAUAAAAGUUUUAUCGCUUGCAGCAUGCAUUCGAUUUUUCCUUGAAAAUUGAUUUGGGGAAACAUAAAUAUUUUACUUAUUAAUGUAUCUUUGUCCACUCACUCUAACGUUUUCAAAUGUUUUCCCCUGGGCCCUUCGUUUUAAAAUGCCCAGUCUACAGAGUUCGGGUUGGAUCUAGUAGGAGGCAAGGCAUAGUCACCCGCAUUUCCACCACUUUUCACCAGUAGAUUACCUGUUUAACCUGCCCGUGUUUUCUUGCUUCCGCUAGUGUCUAGUAGAUCUGAAUACUUUGGGAUUAAUGUAAAUUAUUUCGGUGGUGUGCUCAGUCUGUUGAUUUCUGUUUAGAGUAUCUGAAGGAUAAGGUUUACUGUUUUAGCUGGAUAUUUAUGUGAUGUUUGGAUGUUGAUGUAUUGUUGAUUAUGUGGUGGUUGUGUUUGUGGGGAGCGGAUGGCUCCAGGAGUUAAGGUUGGAUGUGUGUUAGUAGAAGUGUAAAUUUGAAAAUUUUCAUGUUAGGGUUGUCUAUUUUUAAAGGAGGUUUUGCAAAUUUUUCGAUAAAUCUUUCUUUGGGAGUGGUCCCCGCACGACUUACUCCGGGUUUUAAGGUAAAAUUCGGGGUGGGUCCUGACAAACAGUAAAUAGACACUCUCGCUACCCAUAACCGGUAAAAUUGUUAAAUUUAUUGUAUUAAUGAAUUUUAUGAUUGGUAAUUGGCUUAGUUUGCUGAGUACGUCAAAUAGAGGUCUUGGUAGUAGGAUAGAACUGAAAGUCAUGUAGGUGAGUAAUAAAUAUAAUAAAGAUACUUUGAUUUGUUCUUUUGAGUAAAAAUAAUCUCGUAAUCUUGAUUUCUUUUUCACGUGACCUUACCAUAAUGGUUCCGGCAAAAAAAAAAAACAUUCGGUCAUAGGCAGAGCGUUUGAGGCUGAGGAAGGUGAGCAACAUAGGAGUGAUGCUGCUCUGGCGGCCUCGAGUGGAAGCACAUGCAAUAACAGGGCCAAAGUGGCUGGCAAAUAGAUAGGCGAAGUAAUUCAUGUCAUCAUAGUAUAGCCUUGUGUAGCGUCUGUAACUUGAACUUUCAUUUGACGGCCAUGAACUGCCGAAGUGAAUGAAUUUUGAUACUAUGUUUUUAGCCCAAGUGUGUUUUGAGCGAUAAACCUCUCGUUUUCUUUUGCUUUGCUGACUCUAUUAUAUAAUUUAUUGAAAUUUCUCUGUAUUUUUUGCUAAAUGAAAUUACCAGAAAGAUUAUACUUUUUCUUUGCUUUGACGCUUGGUGGAGAAGCAUCCAUCUUAAGAAAAAUAGUUUGAACGUUUCAUUGAUGGUGAGUUCUGGAAUGCUCCGGAGCGUCUGUGCUCCGCGUUUGUUUGCCUUACGUGCCGAUCCUCCAUUGGCUCCUGUAUUUCGUCUGUGUUAGUCACCCGUUAGUCUCCUUGAGCGCGUGAGUUGCAUAACUCGAUAAGUAUUUCAUCCGCAAUUAGAGAGGGCAGACAAGUUGGAUGUGGGUAAAUUGGUCACUGAAUUCUUUAGUGAAAUGGGAAUAUCAAUGAAUGAGAUCGAUCUAUCUCCCUUUCCUUGAUCUGAUAGGCUUGAUUAAGAGCGGCCGUUUUGAUCUAGUCGGCUUUCUUGGAGGGCUUGGUGGCGAACUGGUGAUGGUCUGAUUUCUUGGCUGCUUCUUCGGCGAACUGGUGAUGGUCUCUGUCCUCUUGACCUCGGCCAGCCACCUACUCCUCACCUAAUUCUGGUAAGUACCAAGAUUCCAUCUUUCUCUUUGAUUUGAUUUCAUUCAGUUUAUGUUAUUGGUAUUUAAUUUGCAAGCUGUGUAUGAGCAGUAGGAGAUACUUUGAGAAUUUAAUCAAUGGGUCUGAUAUUGUUCAGAGUCUAUGGAAGGUAUUUGGUAACAAACUGGUCUGAUUGAUAUGGUUAUCCUUCAUCAAACAUUUGGAAUUUUAGAAUAUUUCCAAUUGAUAUUGAGUUCAAUACUUGCACGAAUUCUAAUUUGUGAUUCAGUAUAAAACUAUGAAUAAACCAUCUGGCUGGGUACCAAACUGAAUUCCUUGUAACUAGUUAAUCAAAGAGAGCUGUGGCAAUUCAAGCAAAAGAAUAUGUCAUUUGGUGUAUAUAAAUUUGAUGUAUGAACAUCUACACACGUAUGUGUAAAGCUAGUAUCUAGCUCUUAAUGAGGAGAAUAUAUAUGGAUGGCUAGUUUUACUAAAAGUUUCUAGUCUUCCUAAAAGUAGUAGCUUAUGUCAUAUAUUUAUAUUGUCGAUUUUUUCAUAUGAUCAAAAUACAUUGAGAUAAUUCAUUCAAGGUUUCCUUUGAAAUUGACAGCUUGCCACAUUGGGUUUUCCUUCACAUUUGAGAUAUAUGGCUGAUCUUACUGUAGUUGGUUGCUCCAUUAUAAUAAAUUCAUCUUCCAGAUGGUAACAAAUGGUAUGUCUGUCUAAUUCCUAAUCUAAAACUAUGUUCUUCCAGUAAAAUGACUGAUAUAAUGUUCUUUGUAAGAUGGGUUUGGUGAAUGUGAGAUUUCUUAGAAGUUGAAUUUGGAUGUUUUCAUUCAUGUUAUUUUUCAUAUUUAAGUUUCACCCUUGUUGGAAGCAUUUGCUUAGUGAACUUCGUUUUGGUUUUAUUCGUCACUUGUUAUUGAGAGUUUAGGUUGCCCGCUGAUAUCGCCUGUUGGUUCUUAAGGUUUUAGCGUUGAUUAUAUCGUUUAGUUUUGAAAACCAUAACACAAUUUAUCGUAUGUGAAUAAAGCAUGCAUUUGGAUUUUAUUUAAUGAGUGUGCGAAUUUAAACUGAUUGAACGUGACUUUUGGAGGAAGAAAGUUAUUUGAACGUGCAGAGAUGCCGAGAACCAAUCUUUAUUACUUGAUUCUUAUCAAUAUAUAUAUGUCCGACUUACCAGUCCCUACAUUGGAUAUUUCGAUGAUCUGUGGUAUACUAGAACUGAUGCGCUUGUAUCUGAUUUUUGUGCUUGAUUUGAAACAUAUAUAGAUAGCCUGAGUUGGUAGCUGCUGCUAUCAGUUUUGAAUGUUUCAUUUUCCACAAGGUUCUAUAUGACUGUCAACGUUUGAUUGAUUAUUUAUGACACUGAAUUGUUGAUAGUGUAAGGCCGGCGGGGCUAGCGCCGACGCCGCCGGCGGUUGGGAGAUUUUAAUGUUUUUAAAUUUGGAAUAUUAAGGGGAGUUUAUUGAAGUGAAUUAUGGAAUUUUUGGAUGAGUUUUGGAUAGGUUUGUGAAUUUCCAAAGUUUGGUAUUUUUGGCGGUUGAAUAAUGUAGAAUCCGGCCGUAGGAUUUAAGUCAUUUUCUGGGGGAAGUUGUAAUUAGGGCUGCCGGUAUGUUCGGUGAAGUUUGAACCAUUUUGAGUUAAGAAUGGCGAAGUUGGGCAAUGAUGAGUGUGUGGGAGGCUCACGUUUAAUUUUGCCCAUUUUGUUUAAAUAUUGGAUUUUUAGUUGGGAAAUUAAUUGUAUAUUUGGUUCAGGUUGAGAGGAGGCCCGAGCAGAAGAAGCCUCGGAGCGACAUCAGGCUUAGGCCUAAAUUGUGAGUGGACCUUUGUUUUAAUUAAAAAGCAUGCGAUGAAUUAUCUUGUUGAUCAUUUAUUUCUUUUCCUGAGAUUUAUUUUCUUUCUCGGAUAUUUGGCAAUUUUCCUCCUUUGGAGAGAUCCCGAAAAUGAGAUUUUCAGUGGAUAUGUUUAUGGAUAUUAUGAGUAUAGUAUGUAUAUAAAUGCUAGCUAGCCAUAUGUGCUUGGUCGGUCAUAAUGAGGUAAAAUGCCAUUAUGACGUUACGUGAGUGUUAGACACUAGCGUCAUAGCCCUAUAUGAAAACUACUUGCUUUUUUGGUUUAUUUAGGUUUUCAUACAGGGAGUCCACACGUAUAUAAAUACACUGUCCUCUUUGGUCAUAAUGAGGAGAAAAUACCAUUAUGGCGCAACGUGAGCGUUAGACGCCAACGUUGUAACCUUGUAUGAAUUUCUAUUUUUCUAAAUUGUUUCUAGGAUUCAUACAAGGAGUCUGACGAGUGUAAAUACAUACGAAUAUAUGAUUAUAUAUAAUUUAGCCUGAGAGGCUCCAUUUUAUUUGAGUUGGUGACUAGCCGGAGCUAGUCGUGAAAUUGCCAGUUUUUGAGUUGAGCGCUUUUAAACAGUCGCAUGCCGUCUAUUUUCUUUGGAAAAUAAAAAUGGGAAUGCAUAAAUAUUUUUUAUUAAAUUAUUUUUAUCCACUCACUCUAACGUUAUUAAAUGUCUUCCCCUGGGCCCUUCAUUUUAAAAUUCCCAGUCUGCAGAGUUCGGGUUGGACCUAGUAGGAGACGAGGCAUAGUCACCCGUAUUUCCACCACUUUUCACCAGUAGGUUACAUGUUUAACCUACAUGUGUUUUUCUUGCUUCCUCUAGUGUCUAGUAGCUCUGAUUUUCCCUUGGGGAUAUUGUAUAAUAUUAUUUUGGUUGUAGGUGAAGGUUUGUUGACAUUUUAGAAUAUUUGGCGAAGGAUUUAUGUUAUCUUAUUUGGAUAUUUAUGUGUUGUGUUGUUAUUGGUGGUGGUUGUGUUUGGGGAGCACGUAGGCUCCAGAAGUUAAGGUUGGAUUGAGAAUUAUAGGAGUGUUUGCAGGUUCCUUUAGGAAGGGUUGUCCAUUUUCAAGGGAGGUCAUGCCGAAUUUUCGGUAAUAUCUUCCUUGGAGGUGGUCCCCGCACGUCUUACUCCGGGUUUCAGGGUGAAAUUCGGGGUGGGUCGUGUCAAUUGGUAUCAGAGCUUUAGGUUUCCUUUUCCUGCUUCCUUGUCACUAUCAGAAUCACAACGUGCCUACUAAUAUGAUAUAACUUGUAUAAUAGGUUUUAUGCAAGUAUACAACUUUGUGAACUAACUACACACGGAAAGCAAAAUUUUCAAAUAUCUCGUGAAAUAAAUUGUGAUCGAAAUAGUGAAAUACGGUUAUGGUUGAAAAAUCAUAAAUUUUCGAUAAUGUUUGGUCCCCGAUCGACACGGUCAACACUAUUUACGUUUAUGAGCCCUAUCUUUGGGAG
rnacentral:lncRNA from 1 species